UUAUGGCCAUAUCACAUUGAAACACUGGUUCUCAUAUAAUCACUGAAGGUAAGCAAUGUUGAGCCUGGUCAGUACUAGGCCAGUGACUACUUGGGAAUACCAAGUGCUGUAAG